GACGAACGCUGGCGGCGUGCCUAAUACAUGCAAGUCGAACGCAGUGGGGACGGGUGAGUAACACGUGGGUAACCUCCCAUCAGAGGGGAGAACACUUGGAAACAGGUGCUAAACCGAUACUGAUGGAUGGACUCGGGGUGCAUUAGCUAGUGGGGGGGGUAACGGCUUACCAAGGCCACGAGGCAUAGCCGGCCUGAGAGGAUGAUCAGCCACACUGGAACGGAGACACGGCCCAGACUCCUACGGGAGGCAGCAGUGGUGAAUAUUCGGCAAUGGGCGAAAGUCUGACCUAGCAACGCCGCGUGAGUGAAGAAGGUUUUCGGAUCGUAAAGCUCUGUUAUUGGAGAGGCGGUAUCUAACCAGAAAGCACCGGCUAACUCCGUGCCAGCAGCCGCGGUAAUUC
rnacentral:rRNA from 1 species